GAGAAUUUGGCCUGGGGCUAAGUGGGAGGAAGUUAUAAUGUACAAGCUAUAAUUUCUCUCUGGAGCUGAUGUUUCAGAAAGAAAAAAUUGCAACCCAUGGUUUACACAGAG
rnacentral:lncRNA from 14 species